rnacentral:rRNA from 1 species
UACGUAGGGGGCGAGCGUUGUUCGGAAUUACUGGGCGUAAAGGGCGUGUAGGCGGUGCGGUAAGUCGGGCGUGAAAUCCCCGGGCCUAACCCGGGGCGGUCGUUCGAAACUGCCGUGCUAGAGUGCAGGAGAGGGAAGUGGAAUUCCUGGUGUAGCGGUGAAAUGCGUAGAUAUCUGGAGGAACACCGGUGGCGAAGGCGGCAUCCUGGACCGGUAUUGACGCUGAGGCGCGAAAGCUAGGGGAGCAAACGGG